rnacentral:tRNA from 1 species
GAGGGAAUAGCUCAGUGGUAGUGUGCGUGCUCAGCAUGCACGAGGUCCUGGGUUCAAUCCCCAGUACUUGUA